UAAAUUUUAAGUUAAAUAAACUAGUAACCUUCAAAGCUAUUUAUAAGAAAAAUUUCUUAAAUUUAA
rnacentral:tRNA from 1 species